rnacentral:misc_RNA from 1 species
ACGUGUGUAUGUGUAAACAGCUUGCACCACGAAGCAGACGACCGCCGGUCGCUCGAUUAUCCCACAAAACAUUCACACCUGUAUCCCCCACCACCACCACAACCCACCCAACCUCAGGUAGGCGGCGAGGUGGCCCACACCCUUCGUGCCUUGCAUAACAUGUCGGCGACUUUCAUGUUUUGUGUUCCACACCUGGUCACGGACAAGAAUUGUUAUUAAUGUUCAGAGUCACGUAUGAAGAACACCGUUCCUUGACUUUGAGGUUGUCACAGGAAGGUAUUAAACAAAGGUUACAGGUGCGAAGGAAGUGUUAGAGACCCGAAAGAAGAAAAUCUGUGUCAGCAUGUGGGAAGGUUUCAAUGUGGAUGUCAUUCUUGAGGACCUGAAGUACAUCUGAAGUUCAGAGUUUGAUACUGAUUACCUGAACAAAGACUUGAGCGGAUAAUUACUGUGGGAGGAUGUUUCUUUGGACUGCAAAUGGCUUCAAUUCUUGUUUACUACAACCAAGAGAAGCAUGACUGUGCAUAACCCCGACUUUUAACAAGAACAGAAGGAAGCUUUGGAUGGUGUGAAGCUUGGGUGUGUCUUCUGAAGUCCUCCACGUUUCAUUCCCAUCUCAGUGCACAAGUUCAAAGUGAUGAUGUUUUCCAAAAGCUACGUGUGUUUUUUCUUUGCCAUUCUCGCGAGAUUCGCCGUGAAACCCGCCGUCCUCCAAGGAUGUAGUUCCCACCUACCUGACUAUAAGACGUUUAAUGAGACUGAAGAGCCAGGACUGGUAUUGCUGAGAGUCAACGGUGUCGCCAACACCUCGUGGACCGUUACCGUGGUGGAUCCGUCCGCUACAUUGAACUCUUACUUCAACCUGGAGAAAAGCUCGGACGGAGACAACAUCAGUCUUGUCCUCAAUCAGACCUUUGACCUGGAAACAGUUUAUAAACAGCUGAAUAAGGUUGUGACCAGUAUUCGGUGGAAGAUCACCUGCCGCCAGAUCGGAGAUCCAGACAUUAAUACCGAGUGGUUGGCUUUUGUGGAGCCUGUAAAUGAGUUCACGCCCACGUUCGAGAAUCUGCCGAGUGGCGGCGUAAACAUCCUGGAGGAUGCUCCUGUCCACAGCACCGUCUUGGUUCUCAAGGAUUAUGUCAAAGAUGAGGAUGUACACCCCAACCCACUGGGUUUCGACUAUGAACUAUUACCCUACUCAAAUUCUGCGGAGGACGGGCGGACCAAGUAAGUUGCGAUUGAAGACAGUGUAACGGGCGCCCUCGCUCUCACAUCAAGCUUGGAUUAUGAGGCUAUGCCCCCGAGACAGAAGUAUUACAUGUUGAAUGUCUCCUUUGGUGACAGAGAAGGUCUGACUUCACACACCCUCAUCAGGAUCAACGUCACGGACGCUGACGACCAGCCGCCGGAGUUCUACGACGACAAGUGCUCCUCGCCCUGCUUCAUCUCCUACUCUGCCGCCAUCAGAGCGAACUUC